GCACCCGUAGCCUAGUGGAUAGUGGGGAUGGCUUGGAAUCAUAAGACCGGGGUUCGACCCCCGGCACGGCA